rnacentral:rRNA from 1 species
AGUGAACGCUGGCGGUAGGCCUAACACAUGCGAGUCGAACGGCAGCACAGUAAGAGCUUGCUCUUACGGGUGGCGAGUGGCGGACGGGUGAGGAUUACAUCGGAAUCUACUUUUUCGUGGGGGAUAACGUAGGGAAACUUACGCUAAUACCGCAUACGACCUACGGGUGAAAGCAGGGGAUCUUCGGACCUUGCGCGAUUGAAUGAGCCGAUGUCGGAUUAGCUAGUUGGCGGGGUAAAGGCCCACCAAGGCGACGAUCCGUAGCUGGUCUGAGAGGAUGAUCAGCCACACUGGAACUGAGACACGGUCCAGACUCCUACGGGAGGCAGCAGUGGGGAAUAUUGGACAAUGGGCGCAAGCCUGAUCCAGCCAUACCGCGUGGGUGAAGAAGGCCUUCGGGUUGUAAAGCCCUUUUGUUGGGAAAGAAAAGCAGCAGGUUAAUACCCCGCUGUUCUGACGGUACCCAAAGAAUAAGCACCGGCUAACUUCGUG